AAACACAAAAAAAAAAGAGAUAAGGAAUUCAAUAAAAGGGCCGAAGCCUAUUCCGGCCAAAAAUCAAAAAACGAAGAAAGGGGAAAAGGGGAAAGGGGAAAGGGAAAAGGAAAAAAGGGGAAAGCAGCAAAGCUGCGCUAAAAAGAAACAGAAGCAUUGAAGCAUUCAAAAACAAAAGAAUAAGGGACCAAGCUCGGCAGAAGCAACGGACAGAGGCGAUCAAAAGCAACCACAAAGUGGGUCUACUUUGUUCUAGCAAAGAGAUUUACAGAGAAGGGGAACAAGCUAGGUAAUUGAAUUCUAAAACUUUUCCAUGGUAAUCUGAUUCCUUUACUUAAUACUUAGCACACUAUUAGCUAUCAACAAAAUUCAAGUUACUAUUAAUCUAGUACAGACAAUGGAAUUUUAUAUACAUGAUUCUUAUAGGGCUGAGUAGAUAUAAUUUUGGAAUUGGAUUAAGAAUUUGAAAGUUAAAGUCAAAGAAAUUGGGAGAAAUUCAUAAGACUUUUCCGUGAAUUAACUGGGUAUAUCAUAUGAAUAAGUUGUAUUUAAUAGAUUUUGAAGUAUUCUAAACUACCGUAGCGUGAAUAAGUAUAAAUUGACGAAUUAAGAGUCAAACAUGAAUCCAAGGGUUGGGCAUUCUAAAUUAGCUAUGAAUUAGCUAAAAUAAGGAAAUUAACACGAGAUCGAUAUUGAUGUGAUUAUAGAUUGAUUGAAGAAAGUCGUACUGAUCGUUUGAGGUGACGAGUUUGGUAUUUCGCACGAAGUACUGUGAGUAGUAAUCUUAGUGCAAUUUGUGUUUUCAUAACCUGCAUGAUUUACACAUGAUUUUUAAUAUGAAUAUGUUACCGAUUAUUUUGAGUUGCAUGUGGGACAAGUCUUUUACUCGAUAUGAUACCGAAAUAGUUAUUUGAGAUGAUUACCGUUGUUUUAAAUAUUUCCGUUGUCACUAGAUCUGUUUUACCAGUUACUUCAAUUUACUGUUAUCGAAAUAAAAUUAUAUGAUUUGAUAAGAACCGAAAUGCCCUAUAUUGUUUUAAAAUAUUUUCUACGAGUAUAUACGGAUUACUCGAUAUGAUACCGAAAUAGUUAUUUGAGAUGAUUACCGUUGUUUUAAAUAUUUCCGUUGUCACUAGAUCUGUUUUACCAGUUACUUGAAUUUACUGUUAUCGAAAUGAAAUUAUAUAAUUUGAUAAGAACUGAAAUGCCCUAUAUUGUUUUAAAAUAUUUUCUACGAGUAUAUACGGAUUACAGAGACAAGUAUAAAUGGGAGUAGACAUUGAAGGAUCUUGUAGCUAACGGCGGGUUCGUUAGACCUGGUGCACCUUGUAAUUACCGAUUACCGUUAUAACUCUCGCUAGUGGGAAGGUAGAACUAGCAUAUCGUUACCGAUUUUCCUCGAGUAGGGACUACCAUUAUAUUUGACUUCUUACGAAGAAGUCCACAGUUAUACCGAUUACAUGAUCCAUUCAUUGAAACCUCCCAAAUGUGAAUAUUGAUAUUAUACGGUGGUUACCGAGCUUAUUACUGAAUUGUUAAUUGUAUUAUACUACAAGAAAAACAUAAUGAGACUGAAAAUUAUUUAUUGUUUCUGAAAGGACAUUUUUAUGUUAUUUUCUGUUUGAUAUACUAGUAUGUUUUCUGACUUGUCCCCAAUAAAAACGGUUGUGGUUAACUGUUAUUACUCACUGAGCUAGCAACUCAUUCCCUGCUAAUUUUUUACAGAGACAGCAGUUGACGUAGGCGAGGAUUUCGUUAAUUAGAGCGCACAGGUUGAUAGUUCUUGGUGAGCCUCGCACUUGUUCGCGUGAGCGGAGAUUUUAUUUAUUGUUAUGGUCUUUUCUUUGAACUCUUAGAGUCGCUCCAUAGUCAUUCUUUUAGAGUCUUGAGUAUUCUUUUGUUAUUAUGGACUUAGGAUGAGUAUUGCACUUUCUUAUCGAAAUUGGAGAUAAAUUAGUAUUUUUGGUUGUUAGUGGGUUGAUUAGUAAUGAUGGAGACUUGUUUUGGUUAAUUGAUAAGUUGUCAAUUGUUUAGUUUGAUAUUAGGAUGGUUGGUUGUUGAUUUUGAGACAGUGAAAUUUUUGGAUAGUCCAAAAACAUGGAAAACUCCGUCUGAUUUUCUGUAAAAUACUGAUGAGGCUUACUUGGGAGCACUUGCUCCUAAGCGCCGGUCACGAUCCUAAAUUGGGUCGUGAC
rnacentral:lncRNA from 1 species